rnacentral:rRNA from 1 species
CCUACGGGAGGCAGCAGUGGGGAAUAUUGGACAAUGGGGGGAACCCUGAUCCAGCGACGCCGCGUGAGUGAAGAAGUAUUUCGGUAUGUAAAGCUCUAUCAGCAGGGAAGAAAAUGACGGUACCUGACUACGAAGCCCCGGCUAACUACGUGCCAGCAGCCGCGGUAAUACGUAGGGGGCAAGCGUUAUCCGGAUUUACUGGGGGUAAAGGGAGCGUAGACGGUGCAGCAAGUCAGAUGUGAAAGGUCGGGGCCCAACCCCGGGACUGCAUUGGAAACUGGUGAACUGGAGUAGAGGAGAGGUAAGCGGAAUGCCUGGUGUAGCGGUGAAAUGCGUAGAUAUUAGGCAGAACACCAGUGGCGAAGGCAGCAUACUGGACUGAAACUGACGUUGAGGCUCGAAAGCGUGGGGAGCGAACAGGAUUAGAUACCCUGGUAGUC